rnacentral:rRNA from 1 species
ACUCAAAGGAAUUGACGGGGGCCCGCACAAGCGGUGGAGCAUGUGGUUCAAUUCGACGCAACGCGAAGAACCUUACCCAGACUUGACAUGUACUGGACUGGUGUGGAAACACAUCUUCCCUUCGGGGCCAGUGCACAGGUGCUGCAUGGCUGUCGUCAGCUCGUGUCGUGAGAUGUUGGGUUAAGUCCCGCAACGAGCGCAACCCUUGUCCUUAGUUGCUAACGAGUCAAGUCGAGCACUCUAAGGAGACUGCCGGUGGCAAACCGGAGGAAGGUGGGGAUGACGUCAAGUCCUCAUGGCCCUUACGUCUGGGGCUACACACGUGCUACAAUGGCCGGUACAAAGGGCUGCGAUACCGCGAGGUGGAGCCAAUCCCAAAAAACCGGUCUCAGUUCGGAUUGCAGUCUGCAACUCGACUGCAUGAAGUCGGAAUCGCUAGUAAUCGCUGAUCAGCAGGCAGCGGUGAAUACGUUCCCGGGCCUUGUACACACCGCCCGU